UACGGAGGGUGCAAGCGUUAUCCGGAUUCACUGGGUUUAAAGGGUGCGUAGGCGGGCAGGUAAGUCAGUGGUGAAAUCCUUGAGCUUAACUCGAGAACUGCCAUUGAUACUAUCUGUCUUGAAUAUUGUGGAGGUAAGCGGAAUAUGUCAUGUAGCGGUGAAAUGCUUAGAUAUGACAUAGAACACCAAUUGCGAAGGCAGCUUACUACACAGUUAUUGACACUGAGGCACGAAAGCGUGGGGAUCAAACAGG
rnacentral:rRNA from 1 species